rnacentral:rRNA from 1 species
AAAUUGAAGAGUUUGAUCAUGGCUCAGAUUGAACGCUGGCGGCAGGCCUAACACAUGCAAGUCGAACGGUAACAGGAAGAAGCUUGCUUCUUUGCUGACGAGUGGCGGACGGGUGAGUAAUGUCUGGGAAACUGCCUGAUGGAGGGGGAUAACUACUGGAAACGGUAGCUAAUACCGCAUAACGUCGCAAGACCAAAGAGGGGGACCUUCGGGCCUCUUGCCAUCGGAUGUGCCCAGAUGGGAUUAGCUAGUAGGUGGGGUAACGGCUCACCUAGGCGACGAUCCCUAGCUGGUCUGAGAGGAUGACCAG